CUUGCUGGGAGACAUGGGGACACUGGGAGACAGAUGUGUCUGUCAUAAUGUCUCCUAAUGUCCCUUAGUGUCUCAGUGUAUGUC